rnacentral:lncRNA from 1 species
CCCUUUUUUUUCCCCAAUAGUACUCCGUUGUGGGAUAACAUCUAGGCCUUGCAUGCCACUGGACUGUUCUGCUUACCUGUUCCAGUAUUUUGAGAUCCCAGAUCAGCACAAAGGAAUCUAUGUGUAGUAUCCUGUAACUGUUGUGGGUGCCAGAAUAUGAAAGACCCAACAUGCUGCUCUAGACUGAUACUGAAGCUAACAUAACGCAGUUCAUGAGAGAACAUCAUUGGUAUUCUCCAGGUAUGCUAAUUCUGUUUAAACUACUG